GCUUAAUUCGAUGCAACGCGAAGAACCUUACCUAGGCUUGACAUGCUAGUUAAAGCGGGUGAAAGCCCGUGUCGUUAUAGGGCUAGCACAGGUGCUGCAUGGCUGUCGUCAGCUCGUGCCGUGAGGUGUUGGCUUAAGUGCCGCAACGAGCGCAACCCCUGCCAUUGGUUGCCAGCGAGUAAAGUCGGGGACUCUAAUGGGACUGCCGGGGACAACUCGGAGGAAGGUGGGGAUGACGUCAAGUCAGCAUGGCCCUUAUGCCUAGGGCUGCACACAUGCUACAUUGCGCGCCACAGAGGGCAGCGAUCCCGCAAGGGGGAGCGAAUCCCAAAAAAGCUCGCCUGGUUCGGAUCGGGGUCUGCAACUCGACCCCGUGAAGUCGGAGUCGCUAGUAAUCGCGGAUCAGCAACGUCGCGGUGAAUACGUUCCCGGGCCUUGUACACACCGCCCGUCACACCACGAAAGUAGGUAACACCCGAAGCCGGUGGCCCAACCCUUGGGAGGGAGCCGUCGAAGGUGGGAUCUGCGAUUGGGGUGAAGUCGUAAGCAAGUUGCGACCCUCGCCGGUAACGGCGGGAGAAAAACUUGGCUAU
rnacentral:rRNA from 1 species